AGGAGCAGACUGCGGCGGUCCGGGAGAGGCAGUCCUUUAACUGGCAGCGGCGCUGCGGCUGGAGGCGCCGCUGCUUCUCUUUCGCCUGUCCAGUUCUAUACCUUGGCCUGUGCAGCCACCCUAGAUCCGCGAACUCUGUGCCGCCGCUCCCUCUACCCUGUCUUGCGGCGGCCAGCGCUAAGAAUUCAUGCUCCGACACUCGAUUCAGCCAGGAGGUGACAUCAGAUGUGCUCAGAAGCCGUGCCACUGGUGAGGAGGUCAUUGAGCCCCGCCUGGCCCAGGGAGGUUAUGAAGAAUUGGGAGAAGCUUAGAUCAACAUCCUGCACAUGGUUAUCAAAUCAUUGUGAAGUCUUGAAAAUCAUCUGGGAGGCCUGUUAAAAAUGCAGAUUCCUGGGCAGCCAGAAGCCUUGUCAAGAGCAACACUAAGACCUACUUGUCACUUAUAUUGAGGCUUCCUGCCCAGUGAGUUCAUCAGCAAGCCAGAGUGAAUCCCCAUUGCCAUGGAUGUCCUCGUGAGGCAGUUGGGAAGCCUUGGCUGAACUGUGAAGAAUGUCUUCUGGAAAGUGUUUUAGAGAGUCUACCAGCUCUUUCACAUGAGUGAACGUGUAGCAGAAGAGGGGAUCCUCUCGGUGAUUAAGUUUGCCUACAGGAAAAGAAUGUUCUUCAUGUGGAAACAAGUAUUCUGGUUACAUUGAUGGUCACAGAAGCUACGGUGAAUUUUCUCAUGGCCCUGAAGUGUGGUUUGUUUCCAUGGAAAAGAACCUAACAGAAGAUUGAUAACAUGGACAUGUUUCUGGCAUCAGGGAUGAGGGAGACCUGUAGAAACAAUUUGUCAAGUCCUCACCAUGAAUACCAUUGGAAUCGCAGUUGGAGUGGCACUGAAUGUGUAGAUUAAUUUUUGGAGAGCUGUCGUCUUUCUCAUCUUCUCAUACAUGAAUGUGAAGUGCUUCCUCCAUCCUGCAAGCUUCUGGGAACUCAGUGCCCACUGAAUAUAGGAUGUGUACCCAUUGAAGACCUUCAUGCCCUCCAGUAUAAGGCUAACUUGUGUUCUCACUACAGAAGUUUAGAAACAGAGAGUUUCUUCUCUCUGCUGCCUUUUGAGCUGCCAGGCACUGUGCUGGGAGAUGGGGAUAUGGAGACGAAUUUAGACACAGUCCCUGUCGUCAGGAGUUCUCAGUCUAGAGAGAGAGUUCGACAUGUACACAGAUAAUUACAACAGUAUGGUAUGCUCUACAAUGGAGGUAUGUACAAGAUAACUAUGGGGUUCAGAAGAGAAAUCAUUUGAUUGAGUAUGGAGAUGCCAGAGGUUGGAGGAACUGAUGCUUAAGUGGAUUCUUAAAAGAAAUGAAGCUUGACCAGGAAGAAAACAGGGAAGGACCGUUCAAGCAAAGGCAUGGACAUUAGAGAUAGAAUGAUGAAACGGGGGAACUACAAGUAGUUCCUGAAAUUAGGUUAGAAAUGUAGGCUGACAAUAGAUCCUUAUAUAGUGUUCCUUGAAAUGCAGAUUCCAUUUUGAGUGUUUUUGAUGGUCACUCUGGCAGUACUAUAGAGUAUGUUUUGGAAGAUUUUCAAAUCCGGGCAGGGAGAUUAGCUAGAAGGAUACUGAAGUAGGUAAGAUGGUAAAUGAUCUAAGGCCAGAAGGAGUGGGAGUGGAGAAGAGGAGCUAACCUCUUAACAAAAGGCUAUACAAACACAGACAUAAUAGAACCUGGGAAGAGUAAUAGAGGGGACAAUUAAGGCUCUCAGACUUUGGCAAAUGUCCAUUCACCUACCUCCAUCGCUGGCCUUGAUGAGAAAUGGUCUCAUGUUUUUUAGAUGGGCGUUGCUGCCGCUUUCUUCUGGACCAGGGCUUGACUGUACCAUUUUUUGCAAGUUGCGUUUUGAGAUGGUAGCUCUAUAUGAAAUGUUGAUUCUCAGAAAGACAUCUGAACAGCUGCAGACCUCUCCUAGGAUUACUUAGUUCCUGGUCCUUCUCAGCAGUAGCAGCCCUCGCUCCCUACAACAUGUCGCCCAAAGUCAGAGUGGAGGCUAUCAUCUCUAAAACCCACUCAGGGAAGAGACGGCCCUCGUUGUUACUGUCUCAGCUGUUCUCUUUUGCUUAGGGAUUUUACAGUGUUUAUGGUUAUACCUCCCAGUAAAAUGUAUUCAGUAAUCAAAAAUCUAUACAUGCAGUAUUCAUUUCCUCUUUUCUCAAAGCAAUAGGAACAUGUCCUUUGGAAAAUUCACCUAGUGCUCAGAGUAGUGACCUUGCGGGUUCAGAGAAUGGAUUUCUGUGACUAGAACGAUUAAUAGGAGAUUAUAUUUAAGUAGACCUUAUGUAUUUUCAGUGGACCCUGUGUAAGUAGCCAUCCUAGAGGGCGGUAAGGGGAAGAAGGGGUGGGAGAGGAAGCUCCGAGUAGGACAGCAAAGCAGUACAGUAAGAGUUUGGGCCUCGGAGCGAAAUAGCCUAGGCACAGACCUGCUCUUACAUUCAUUAGUGUGGUGUCAAGCAUGGUUUUUCACCUCUCUGGGACUUUCCUUUCUCUUAUGUAAAAUCCGCGUAAUAAUCUUUUUUGCAAUGAUCUGUGGGGGGAUGGAUGAUCACAAUGAUUUGUAAGGAUUUCAUGGUAUUGUUCGUGUAAAUUGCUUAGAACAAGUCUGAAGUGUGCUAAAUGCUGUAUCAACUAUGGUUGCUGCUGAUAAUGAUGUUGACCGCGACAAGGAUUGAAAGAAGAUAGUUAACUAGAAGUGCUUAUAUUUUACAUUGUCAAUGAGACUCUUGGGGUUCAAGAAAGAAAGGAAAAUGAACUGACUUGAAGGUUUUCAAUGGUAUACUAGUACGAAGUCAAUUUUCUGCCUACUUUUUCUUGUCCGCCAAAUAGGUUUGGGAAACCAGAUGAAUUUUGUCCAUGCCCUGAUCACUAAUCUAUUGCCUUUGCUCUUAUUUCCAAAUAGAAACCUGUUGAAAAGUUGUGUUAUACCUGAAUAAAGGUUAUCCUAAAAAUGUAGAAAAAUGCUUUGGAGUUGGUCAAAACUGAACUUAAAACCUGACUCAACUGCUUACUAUUUGUGUGAUCUAAGGCAUGUUACUUUACUUCAUUGAACCACAGUUUCUUCAUCUAAUACAGUAAUUCAUUUGCAGGGUUUCGGUGAGGGUAUUUGUCAAGUGUAUGUCAUAAGCACUCUAUAAAUCAUAGCUAUCAUUGUUAGUGCUUGGGAUACUCACCACGUGGCAGAAACACCAGCAGGCCCUGGUGGCUGGGAGGACUGCAUGGAUCCAACCUCAACCUGGAGUUGUGCUCUUCUGAAGAAAUCCUACUCGGAUGGAUAUAAUACAACCUGCUAAGUGUCCUAGCACUUAUCAGGUUGUAUUAUCAUUGUCCGUGUCUAUGGCUCUCGUCUACCAGACUCUAAAUUCCUUACAGGCAAGGACAGUGCCUUAUUCAUCUUUGUAUUCGGUGCCUAAUCCCGUGCACAUUGUAGGCCUCAUUAAAUGUUUGUUGAAUGAAAAACUGAAUCAUCAACAGACAUUAAUUGGGCGCCUGCUCUGUGAUCUCCAUGGGCUCAGCUUUUCCCCGCCAGUUGCCUACAACGUCCAAGCUGUCUUCAGUAUGCUUUCUCCUGAAGCUUCCUCCUAUCUUCUAAUCCUUUUGCUGAGGACUUCUCUGUAUAGUGCAAGGAUAGCAGAUACAUUUACUUCAUCUCAAGUACCAUCUCCAGCCGAUUGAGAGUACCUGCCUUGAUUAUGUUUGAUCAAAAGGAUUCUGAAGCCAGGUCUCAUUUCAGUGUGAAAGAGCGUUAAUGACUAAUCACUGAUGUUUGCCGAGGGGGGGAGAAGGGGACGUAACGGCACAAGGGCCACGUAUGUGUCAUGUUUGAUAUUAUGUUUUCCGUGAAAUAGUCUGUUUCUAUGCCUGCAUUUUAGUCUUGGCUACUUGCAGAUGUUGCAUGGCUGCUGCCGCCGCCGCUGCUCCAGUUGCUGCUGGUUGCUCCUUGGGUAGGACCAAAGUGAUCAUUGCUCAGAACCUUCAUCCUCACAGUCUGGGGUUUGUUCCUGUGGCUGAUAUUCCCAGUUUCCCCUUUCAACUUUACCUCAGCUAUCCCCUUACCUACACUGACAGGUAGGCCUCCCCUUUCCGUUUGCCACCCAACAGGCUCAUGUUUCUUUUCUUAUUUGGUAUGAUUAAUUGCUCUUGUUCCAUGAAGCCUUCUUUCUGUUAGAAGAUGUGACAACUAGAAUACAAGUUAAACGAUUCCAUCAGGGCGCUACAGUGAGUCAUAUAAGCUCCCCUUUGCUGUGGGAGAAAAUUGCAGACUUUGGGGCAGGAAGAACUGAGAAGGGAGGUGCUGUAGACAGGGGAGAGAAAGACCAUAGCAGAUGGAGUAAGAUCCUGGGAAACGGUGUAGGUUGGGAGGGUAAAACCUAUGGCUCUAAAAUUGGGGCAGAGGGAUAGCCUUGGUUGAAAGGAGUUACCUCCUCACUGGAGUAUAGGGAUAGGAGUAAGGAAGAGUAGCUGAGAAAGGGUAUUGCAAAUUCGUAACUGUUGAGGUGAAUGAUGGAGAGGAAGCUGACCAGGGACACGAUCUAAGGAAUAUUCGGGCCAAAAGGCUGGAGUGGGGCCUUUUGGUAUGUUAAAGUGAGAAACUAUUGUAUUAAAUGAUACAUGAUAUAUUCGGUUAAAGUGAGAAACUAGUUUGAAACUCAAUUAGAAACUCAGGAAAUUAUAACGUGGUCUUGGGCCACUGUCACAAGUAAAUUUGAUUGCCUGGGACUGGCCUUUAUUGAUUGAAGAGUGGACAGCUAGCAAGAGGGGGUUACACAGAAAUGAAUUUGAAAAUGCAAACUAUAUGGGGAAGGCAGUUAGGUCAGAAGUGAGCUCAAAGUCUGUGAAUAAAAAGAGGACUUAGUGUGAUCAAGAUGCGUGUUGAGUAGUUGGAAACUUAGAAUAAUUGGGCCUGUAAUCGGAGGGUGGAUUUUGAAACCUUGAGAUUUCAAAACUGGAGUGGUCAAGAUACUUGUGAAGCUGGGAUGUCAAGAUGGCCAGUUACAUAAAUACUGAAGCGACCCAGGAUUAUAGCGAAAGCUAGGCUGGGAGCGAACACUGUGGGCUGAUAGAAUAGGCUUCGGUGACUGAGGAAUGGUCAGAGGUUGGCUCAUGGCAGCUGUGCAGAUGCGAAAGAGGAAAGGAUGUAAUGGGAUAGUGGUAGAAGGAGCUGCAGAAGAGUGGCAGGUAUCAUUAGAAGUUACAAGAACUAUGAUUCGCACAUUGCACUGUGGUGCUGGCUUGCGGAAUGCCCAGCUAAAACGAUCCCCUCAUUUACUAAGUGCCUGCUCUGUCCCCGGCACCUUACUCUGUGCUACCCAUUUACCCCAUUUGGGUGUCACAUACCAGGUGUGAGAGAGUGAGCAGCAGUCCCAAGCAAGGACAGCAAGGGGAGCUGCUCGCCCUCAGAACUGAUGGAAUGCUGUGGCCAUCCCAGCAGAUUGGGCAGCUUGAAGUGGCAUAAAAAGAUUUCCUUAGGAUCAGAAGUUCCCUUGACGUUGAGCUAACUUUAUUAUGUGGUAGAAGCUUGUGUUGGCUGGUCCAUAAUGUAUUCCGGCUUCUGAGCCUCUGAGUUGAGAGGUAUGCUGGUAAAAAAGCCAAACAUAAAAACAGGCACAGCACUUUAAAAACACACAUAUUCAUUAACUGGAACAAGACAGUCGGUUAUCUAAUUGAGCUUUUAAGAUGAAGGAUAGAUGAAAGAGAGCUCACAUCGAUGGGUGAAUAACGAAACCACUUCGUGAAAGCCACUCUGAGGUCAGGGUGCCUCCAGUUUGGUGGACGUGUUGUAGAUAAUCCGCUGUGCUGUUGGGAAGGAGGGCUGGAAACUGACCCAGAAAGAUGGCCUUUAGGACCCGGAAGGGUCAAGUUUAGGAGAAGAGAGUCUCUGUGAACCCUGUGGCAUUGCACGUAGUCUCAUUUUUCUGCAGUUAUAGUCUUCACAUGAGUCAGUAUUUCAAUGAAGGUUUAGAGCCACUGUGAUAGAGUGACCAGGCCCUCAGACAGCCUAUCCCCUCCUGUGGAGGCUGCUUUAUAUUUAUUCCUCAGGAGGAUCUGGUAGAAGACUUCGUGUGAGGGAGAAGAAAAGGCAAGAAGCGGAGAAUGACUACAGCCCGUCCUCGUCUCUGUGACCCAGCAGAGGGAUCGUCCUCUUGAGACUCUCCAGACCACAGGCCAUCUGUAACAGUCGUCAUCUGGGAGGAGCCUUAUUGUGAAUGAGUGAAUGAAGCCUCAGUGAGUGUUUGGAGUGACACCCAUGUUUUUUCUCUGAAUAUAAGGAGAGGGAAGGAGGCCAUGAAAUGCCAUAAUAGAGUAACAAAAAUAUGACAUUUUAGUAGAUACUGGACCUAGAAGCCUACAUGAAUGCAGGAAACAAAUGUGAGAGACCUCGGGUGUGUAUGAAUGAAGAUAGGAGUGAACGCCUUAUUGCCCUUAGUAAUGGAGGAAGAGAGAGGAGAAAAGUGAAGGAGGUCAUAAAAUCCUUUAUGUCCCCAGAGGAGGCCCUGAGACUUGCUUCAUAAACCAGGGACUUUUUAAGGUGGAUUGAAGAUGAGUCGUUGCUCUGCACUACUUCGGUUGCCAUCUGUGUGAGAGUCGUUCCAAGCACUCUUCUCAGGUACAGCUGCUUUGUGGCGAUUUCUCUUGAGCCCUGUUGAGCAACAACCCAGAACAAGGUUUGCAACUCAGAACUCUCUGGAUCAGUGACAGAGGGGGAUCAAGGACAGAGGAGGUAGCCCAGGUAGUACCAAAUCGCUUGGGUUUUUUUAUAUAGGAUGGAUGGGGUAGAGGCGAGGAACACAGUGGUUCUAGGCAACUCCAAACACCUGGUAAGGCAUGAGGAAAGAGUACACUGAAAGGUCAGCCCUUGGACCUAUUCUUUGUCAAUCCCCAGAGCAUGAUAAAAUAUCUAAGAGUUAUAAAAGAUUCUUUCAUAGAAGAGAUUUAGAAGAGGGGAACUUCUGAUUAUGUAAUAUGGGCAUUACGGCUUUUAAAGACAUCUGCUGCCUACAUAGGUCAUGGAGAUUGAUACCAGUUAGGAUCAGCCUGUGGCUGCCUAGGCCAGUACUGACAUAGAGCUUUCAUGCCCUCGGAGAGCUACUGCCACUCUCUUGCUUUGACAGGUGUUCAUCUACAGUAUGAGUCCAGUGCUUGAAGGAGCAAGAGGACAGCAGGCAUCCCGGGGGCAGCAGUGUGGUCUUCUGAGUGAAGAUGGCAACAGUAAAGAUCAUGGACUUGGCUGGAUUGGGCUGGGCUUGUUUGUUGUUUCAGAAUUUAAAAAAUACUUUUUUUCUUGAUGAUAAAAGUAACAGAUGAUCAUUGUUGAAAAAUCAAAGGUAUAAAUUAAAAAGUAAAGAACACCUAUAAUCUUGUAACCCAGAAAACAGCUCAACAUGCGAGUGUGUUUCCUUUUGCCUUUUUAAUUAAAAAAGAAUAUCUGUAACACAAUUUUUUCAAGUUUUUAUUUUAAUUCCAGUUAGUAAACACACAGCGUUCUAUUCAUUUCAGGUGUACAAUUUAAAAACAAAAUUGACAUCACGUUGUAUAUGUUCUGUAUCUCUUUUGUUUGAAAAUAAUAUAUUUCCAUGUCAUUAGCAUUCUUUGAAAACACAGUAUUGUUAUGUAAUAUUUCAUAUGGAUGUAACAAAAUUUAGGUAGAUGAUUGUAUGUUGCUGGACACUUUGCAUAUUACCAAUUUUGCCUAUAAAAUGUAAUAAACAUCAUUGUACAUUAGUCAUUAUGUACAUUUCUAAUUAUUUCUUUGCAGUAAAUUUCUGGAAUUAGAAUUACUGAGUUUGAUGAGAGCAUUACUAGGGCAUCUGAAAGAUACUGUUGAAUUGUCCUCAGUAUAGUUGUAAAAAUUACAUUCCCGUCAGUGGUGUAUAAAUGUGCAUAUUUCUCCACACGUUCAUCAAAAUAUGGCCUUUCUUUUUAUAAAUCCCUGCUCAUUUAAUAGGUAAAAAUAUACUAAUGUUCUAUUAGAGAUUUGUAUUUGUAAUUUACAUAUAGUAAAAUUCAGUCCUGAUUUAUAGUUCUAUGGGUUUUUUAAAAUAUUUUAUUCAUUUAUUUAUUUGAGAGAGUGUGUGCACACGUGGGGGGAGGGGCAGGGGGAGAAGCAGGCUCCCCGCUGGGCAGGGAGCCCGAUAUGGGACUCAAUCCCAGGACCCUAAGGUCAUGACCUGAGCCGAAGGAAGACACUUAACUGACUGAGCCACCCAGGCGCCCCUGUUCUAUGGGUUUUGACAAGUAUAGUCAUGUAUACUACUUCAGUACCACUUGAAACAGUUUUAUUACUAAUAUUUUCUCCCAAUUGUUCUUUUUGUUGUAAACCACUUUUCCCAUUCCCAAUCCCUGAAAACCACUGAUUUGUUCUCCAUCCCUAUGGUUUUUCCCUUUCCAGAGGUGAUAUGAUUGGAAUCGUGCAAUAUGUAGAUAUUUUGGUCUGGUUUUUCACAGAGAAAUGCAUUUAAGAUUCAUCCAUGUUACGAGGAUCAUUAGUUUAUCCCUUUUUAUUGUUGUACUUCAUUGUAUGAAUGUACCACAGUAUUUUAUACAUUCACUAAUUGAUGGGCAUAUGAGAUGUUUCCAGUUUGGGCAAUUAUGAAUAAAGUUGCUAUAAACUUUCAGUUA